CAUGUAGAAGAAGAGAAAAUUGGAAACAUUUAAAUGUGUAUAUAUAUAUAUAUAUAUUUAAAACCACUGAAAGUUCAAGAUAGGUUUAAAGGUAAUUCAAAUAAACCAUAUUUCACUAUAUAUAUGAAAAUAUAGACUAUAUGCACUUAGUAAAUGGCAACCUGAAUUUUAGACUACUUGGGGGUAGAAAUUAGUAAAAAGUAUUGUAAUAGCUUAGAUUUCUAAACUGUUUUAACUCCUCCCAGAAUUUUGUCUUUUUUUUUUAACCUUAAAGAGUUCUUGAUACACUCUCAGCAGUUGAAGAAACUAAGGGGCAGAAAACCAAAAUAACUUGCUUGAGGUACCAGAGCUAACGCCUCACCUUCUGCUUUCAAAUCCAGUGCUCCAGCAUUGAAUAUGUGUAGCCAUCUACAUGUAAGUAGUUGAUCUAUAUUCUGAGAAUUUUAUUCUUUAUUGAGGUAUUCUUUAAUGAGAGAUAAAGAGAUUCAGAAUUUAGUUUGAAUUGCUUUAUACAGCAAUGAUCCUUUCCAUGCCUUUACACAUGCACUUCAAUCAUGUGUAUUAUGUGAUGUCAGGCAAGGAGGAUUUUAUGGUAUUUUAUGAAAAUACUGAAUUCCAAUCCCUUAAAAAAUUAGAGUACAAUUUCUAAGAUAUAUUCAUCAGUGUUCUUAAAGAGAUUCCCCUAAGUCACAUUUCUCAAUUUGAGUGCCGUAUUUUAUAUGACUAGAUCUAUGCCAAACAGAGUGGAGAGGUGUUUUUAGCAGUAACCAAUUUUAUGUUUCUGAGAGAAAAAGUUAAGCCUAAAGAAAAUGGUAAAGUAUUAACGAUUAGAAAGAUGAGAAAAUAUGUGACACGACAACUUUGGAUCAACACGAGGUUCUCGUUGGUUCUUAGUGAUAAUUUUUUUCCUUAGUCAGUGAUCAACACCCCUAGUGAUCGCUUAUCAACCACUGGAAGGGAGCCUUCUUAGCUCCUUAAAAUGUUCAAGUCGUUCCUUCCAUGUCAAGAUUCUUCCAUGAUUGCACUCUUUGGUGGACAAGAGUUUGAAUUCAUUUCAGAAAUUUGUGAUUUCCUUACAACCUAGUAUGACAGCAUUUUCAUUUUCCUUCUGUGUUUGCACACAGAGCUUCAAUAAUCACGCAGGCUGGGAACCUGCAGCUCGGUCAGUUUCCGCCAACAUGCAGCGUCAAUAGAAAAGGAUUGAGAGCUCUGUUUGUUGACCGGAGUUGAAAACUUGCAUUCAUCCCAGUUUACUGCACGGAUCUAGCCCGCAGAGAAGCGCUGAUAGGAUCUCUGAUAACAGUGGAGUCAGUUACUCUCCUGUGAGAAAGUUCCUGGUCUUGGAGGCAUAUGGAGGAAGUCAUUGAUGGCAGCUCAGUAAUGAGGAAGCUUGCUCUUUCCCCCUUAGAACCAGAAACUUUCCUGUGUCACUUGACAAGACUGGUUUCCAGCUGAUCCUGGAAUGUGAGUGCGAAUACUUGCAUGGUGACAUUAGGUACAUGCAUAAAGAUUUACUGCGAUUUAGUAGGUAAAUCGAAGAAGGCAAUUGGGUACAACAAAGAUUUAAGGUACAUGGUAUCUUUUGACUAAAUGUAUCAUAAUUUCAUCGAGCAAGAUGCUUGCAGGAGGUAAUGUUCUUUCUCAAAGAGGAAAGCAUUAAUCACCACUGGGAAGAAUUAGAUACGCAAAAACAUAAGAAACAUAGUUUUUUCUGUUUUAAAUAUUGUAACUUUUAUUUCAUAUUAAUUGAAGUAAUAUUUUAAAAUAAUCUUCCU